rnacentral:rRNA from 1 species
AAUGAACGUUGGCGGCGUGGAUUAGGCAUGCAAGUCGAGCGAGAACCCCGCAAGGGGGGACAGCGGCAAACGGGGUAGUAAUGUGUCGGAACGUGCCCUGAGGUCGGGGAUAGCGGCGGGAAACUGCCGGUAAUACCCGAUGAUCUCGAGAGAGCAAAGGUGUGAUUCCGCCUUUGGAGCGGCCGACAUGGUAUUAGCUAGUUGGCGGGGUAACGGCCCACCAAGGCUGUGAUGCCUAGGGGAUGUGAGAGCAUGAUCCCCACCAUUGGGACUGAGACACUGCCCAGACACCUACGGGUGGCUGCAGUCGAGAAUCUUCGUCAAUGGGCGAAAGCCUGAACGAGCGACGCCGCGUGCGGGAUGAAGGCCUUUGGGUUGUAAACCGCUGUCGAGGGGGAUGAAGGCUGGAUGGUCAUCUAUCCAGUUUGACAGAGCCCUGGAGGAAGCACGGGCUAAGUUCGUGCCAGCAGCCGCAGUAACAC